rnacentral:rRNA from 1 species
UACGUAGGGUGCAAGCGUUAAUCGGAAUUACUGGGCGUAAAGCGUGCGCAGGCGGUUAUGUAAGACAGAUGUGAAAGCCCCGGGCUUAACCUGGGAACUGCAUUUGUGACUGCAAGGCUGGAGUGCGGCAGAGGGGGAUGGAAUUCCGCGUGUAGCAGUGAAAUGCGUAGAUAUGCGGAGGAACACCGAUGGCGAAGGCGGCUCGCUGGGCCAUACCUGACGCUGAGACGCGAAAGCGUGGGGAGCAAACAGG